rnacentral:rRNA from 1 species
CCUACGGGCGGCAGCAGUGAGGAAUAUUGGUCAAUGGGCGCGAGCCUGAACCAGCCAAGUAGCGUGAAGGAUGACUGCCCUACGGGUUGUAAACUUCUUUUAUAAAGGAAUAAAGUGAGGCACGUGUGCCUUUUUGUGUGUACUUUAUGAAUAAGGAUCGGCUAACUCCGUGCCAGCAGCUGCGGUAAUACGGAGGAUCCGAGCGUUAUCCGGAUUUAUUGGGUUUAAAGGGAGCGUAGAUGGGUUGUUAAGUCAGGUGUGAAAGGUUGCGGCUCAACCGUAAAAUUGCAAUUGAUACUGGCAGUCUUGAGUACUGGUGAGGUAGGCGGAAUUCGGGGUGUAGCGGUGAAAUGCUUAGAUAUCACGAAGAACUCCGAUUGCGAAGGCAGCUUACUAGACUGCCACUGACAUUGAGGCUCGAAAGCGUGGGUAUCAAACAGGAUUAGAUACCCCAGUAGUC